rnacentral:rRNA from 1 species
CCCGCUGAACUUAAGCAUAUCAAUAAGCGGAGGAAAAGAAACUAACAAGGAUUCCCCUAGUAACUGCGAGUGAAGCGGGAAAAGCUCAAAUUUAAAAUCUGGCGGUCUCUUGGCUGUCCGAGUUGUAAUCUAGAGAAGUGUUAUCCGCGCUGGACCGUGUACAAGUCUCCUGGAAUGGAGCAUCAUAGAGGGUGAGAAUCCCGUCUUUGACAUGGACUGCCAGGGCUUUGUGAUGCGCUCUCAAAGAGUCGAGUUGUUUGGGAAUGCAGCUCAAAAUGGGUGGUAAAUUCCAUCUAAAGCUAAAUAUUGGCGAGAGACCGAUAGCGAACAAGUACCGUGAGGGAAAGAUGAAAAGAACUUUGGAAAGAGAGUUAAACAGUACGUGAAAUUGCUGAAAGGGAAACGCUUGAAGUCAGUCGCGUCGUCCAGGGAUCAACCUUGCUUUUGCCUGGUGCACUUCCUGGUUUGACGGGUCAGCAUCAAUUUUGAUCAUUGGAAAAAGGCUAAGGGAAUGUGGCAUCUUUGGAUGUGUUAUAGCCCUUGGUCACAUACAAUGGUUGGGAUUGAGGAACUCAGCACGCCGCAAGGCCGGGUUUUUAACCACGUACAUGCUUAGGAUGCUGGCAUAAUGGCUUUAAUCGACCCGUCUUGAAACAC